rnacentral:rRNA from 1 species
GAUGAACGCUGGCGGCGUGCUUAACACAUGCAAGUCGAACGGAAAGGCCCAAGCUUGCUUGGGUACUCGAGUGGCGAACGGGUGAGUAACACGUGGGUGAUCUGCCCUGCACUUCGGGAUAAGCCUGGGAAACUGGGUCUAAUACCGGAUAGGACCACUUCUUGGAUGUUGUGGUGGAAAGUUUUUUCGGUGUGGGAUGAGCUCGCGGCCUAUCAGCUUGUUGGUGGGGUAAUGGCCUACCAAGGCGUCGACGGGUAGCCGGCCUGAGAGGGUGUACGGCCACAUUGGGACUGAGAUACGGCCCAGACUCCUACGGGAGGCAGCAGUGGGGAGUAUUGCACAAUGGGCGCAAGCCUGAUGCAGCGACGCCGCGGGGGGGAGGACGGCCUUCGGGUUGUAAACUCCUUUCGCUAGGGACGAAGCGUUUUGUGACGGUACCUGGAGAAGAAGCACCGGCUAACUACGUG